UCCCGCAUUCUUUGCAUGUUUUUGCAAUCUAAAUUAUGUAAUUUACUCAAUUUGUGGCCACUGAAAAUACCACUUGCGUGAGCUAAAUUUAGGCUGCGGAUAAUUAAUUCCGCUGCGGGAUAUACAGGGUGGCUUGACAAAGCGGAAGCUCGCGGCCUACUUGAUCCUGAUUGUCUCGGCGUGGCAGACAUUACACUAGGGACAAAAAGAAAGCAUCUACGAAAGAAUCAAAUAUUUAUUAAUAAAAUAACCAUUUAUCAACAACAAAUUACGCGAAAAUAUGAACUUUAUAAAUUAAAUUUAUUAUACAUACUUGAGGAACAAAAAUUCACUGUAAAAACUUAAGUCUGAGUCGGCGGCGCGGUCGGAGGCAACGGCUCAUGGUCCGGAAAAUAAAACCCAAAAAGGA